UACGUAGGGGGCUAGCGUUGUCCGGAAUCAUUGGGCGUAAGGAGCGUGUAGGCGGCCAGGUAGGUCCGUUGUGAAAACUCGAGGCUCAACCUCGAGACGUCGAUGGAAACCAUCUGGCUAGAGUCCGGAAGAGGAGAGUGGAAUUCCUGGUGUAGCGGUGAAAUGCGCAGAUAUCAGGAAGAACACCUAUGGCGAAGGCAGCUCUCUGGGACGGUACUGACGCUGAGACGCGAAAAGCGUGGGGGAGCGAACAGG
rnacentral:rRNA from 1 species